GACGGUGUUGCCGUGGAAACAGUGCUGGUGUUGGCUGGACAGUACGGCCGGCUUUAUCGGACGACACGGCGUCUCUUCCCUCUGACGGGUCUGGACAGCGUUUUCUGGAUCACAACACAAACACGAGUUACUGCGGCUCAGUGUGAGGUGUGCGCGGGGUGUGUGUGAGAGAAGUGUGUGUAUGAGGUGUGCGCGGGGUGUGUCUGAGGUGUGUUUGCGUGGUGUGUAUGAGGUGUGUGUGUGGUGUGUAUGAGGUGUGUGUGUGGUGUGUAUGAGGUGUGUUUGCGUGGUGUGUAUGAGGUGUGUGUGUGGUGUGUAUGAGGUG